rnacentral:miRNA from 1 species
ACCUGCCCUAGUUUGCCUGGGACUGAGGGCUUUCUGGGGACGUGGGACUUCUGGGGCUAAUACU